UCCUGUGAUGUGGGUAGUACAGUGUUCAACUGCCUUCAACUGGCAGUUCCUUUGUCACUACUAGCAGGAGAGGAGCUCCCCUCUAGCUGCUCCUGUGGGUUGGGGGGGGCGUGUGUUAUUUUUCUGCCUUUGUUCUUUCCACCCACUGGGGAGUGGGAGUUUAGAUGUGCGAGGGAUGAGAGUCAGAGGGCCUGUCUUUACAGAACCAUGCUAAAGACAUUUUCUGUCCCCUUUAUCUGCCUGAAACCCUGCCCUGUUCCCACCUACCUCUAAGGAGCUCAAAUAAGAGAUGCUUCAACUUACCCACCUAUCCUUAUUUGGAAGGCAAGUGCCAUGGCUAAGAAGGAGAAACUGCCAGUCACCAUGGUAACUUCAUGGCAGAGCUAAGAGUAGAACCCAGGAGUCCUAACAUCCAGUCUGGCUCUUCAACCAUGUGAUUACAUACUCUCCUUAGUUCAUUUUGUGCAUUACUUCUCAGCUGGGAUUAAAACUGCUUUUUGAGGAAGGCUGCAUGGUUACCUCUGUUCAAGGUCCAGAAGUAUUGAGUUCAGAAGGACAACAUCCCACUUGAUAUUCACCUCAGCUGUAAGAGUGGCAGAAUUCUUUGGCCUUAGGGGCCUGUCUUAAAAUCACUGCAUGCCCAAAAAAGGGCCAUGUUAACUACUCUUCUGAUAAAGUGAGAAAAUCUGUGUACAUCAAGGUGAAAUAAUAUGAAGCUGCCUUAUGUUUCCUGGCGUUACGAUUUUCGUCUCUGAUUUAAUUGUUCAUCCAGUUUGGGAACCUUCUCUACAGCCUGAGAUGGAAACAGAGUCAACUAUCCCAAUUUGGCAGAACAAACCCCAUGGCUCAUCACGCAGUGUUGUCAGGAGGAUUGGGACAAACCUUCCUUUAAAACCCUGUCCUAGGGCGUCCUUUGAGGUUCUACCAAACAUUUCAGAUCUGUAUCUAAAUGAUGCACCUCCAGUCCCCACUCUGGCAGAUAUUGCAUGGAUAGCGGCAGAUGAAGAAGAAACGUAUGCUAGAGUCAGGAGUGACACACGCCCACUGAAGCACAAGUGGAAGCCCAGCCCGUUCUUUGUGAUACAGCGAAACGCUUCAGUCCCCAACUUGAGAAAGCAGGAAGAGAAGCUGCUGGUCUUGAAGAAACCUGGUUUACCGGCCCUCAGUCGGACGACAGAGCUUCAAGAUGAGCUGAGUCUCCUGCGGAGUCAAAUAGCUAAAAUUGUAGCUGCAGAUCCAGCUUCCGCUUCAUUAACGCCAGAUUUAUUAUCUCCAGGAAGUUCAAAUGUAUCUUCUCCCUUACCUUGUUUUGGAUCCUCAUUCCAAUCUACAACUUCCUUUGUCAUUAGUGAUAUCACAGAGGAGGCAGAAUUAGAAAUUCCGGAGCUUCCAUCAGUUUCCAUGCUUUGUUCUGCAACCUCUGAAUGUUGUAAACCAGAACCAAAGGAUGUUGACGAGGAAGAUUCUGUGUCUCUUUCGAAGGCCAGCAGUUUUGCAGACAUGAUGGGCAUACUUAAAGACAUUCAUAGGAUGAAACAGAACAAAGAUUUGAACUGGUGUUAAAACCCACAGCCUGGAAACUUCAGGAAUGAGUAUGAGCCACAUUUGCAUGUUUCCACCAUUAAAAUCAGAAUAGAGCCCUUUUAAUAUCUGCUGCCUUUUGGAAAGGAAUUGUCUGUGUAGUGUUCCAGCUGAUCCGUUCAUUCAGUGUGUGGUUAAAAACAUGUAGCGUGAAGAUCUGCUUUGAAUGAACCGAACUUUAUUGAAGGAGGAAGACCCGGCUGUUCUAAUAUCAGAAGUGUUAAGAAGAAAAUUUGCUCUAAAGGAUGAAGAUGUAACCAUGAAAGAAAACUGACUUUACACUUUCAUUUAAAUCUGUAAGCAAGUGUAUCGUACUCCUGAGAUUUUUCUCCACAGUAGCUGCCUUCCUAAGGAUCAAACUUUUUUGCCUCUUUACUAAUUAGAAAUUAUUUCUGCACUGGAAACUCAUUCAAGAAAGCAACUGUGGAUUUGCAGUGUUUUCCAUGUCUCUAAAAUAUAUAAAAACUUUUUAAGAAAAAGGACAUUUUUCCACAUAAUUUGAAGCAUUACUGGUAACAGUGUCUUCUACAGAGUGAUGCGAGUGUUGCUAAAUGAAGUUCUCUUCCCAUCUGUGUUUUUCCCCAAGGUGACUUAAACUUGAAUCAUUCAUUUGACUCAUGAUGGUCUUGUUGCAAUAUGACUAGCUAAUUUAUAAUAUAAAUGGACAUAAAGCAUCUAAUUCUUUCUCUAUUCAGGGGAAGUCAGGUGCAAAGCUAUCAAUGAGAGUAAAUUGCUUCUUCCUUCCAGGCUGUCAGUUUUUAGGAAGUUCUUAUUGUAUUGAGGGUGGUUUAAGAGCUUGCAUUAUUUCCUCAAAAAAGGAUUCCAUUUCCUAAAGUUUCUUCCACUUACUUUCCUGUCCCAUUUGGGACAGGAGAAAUUAAAAUGAAUUAUCAGAUCAUUUAACCAAGCUCAAUUUGCUAAACUGGUGUUGGCUGGUGAGUGACUUUUAAAUAGUCUGUAAUAUUUGAAAGAUCAAAAUAUCCCCGAGUCACAUUACAUGACACUUAUAUCCUGCCCUAAGGUAACUUGUCAAGAAUUCCAGGUGUUUCAUUAAAAUGGUCUCUUUAUUCAGAUUAACUUUAUUUUAUUAAUAUAAAAUUCAGUAAGAAUUUUGCCCAGUUAAUGUGAUUUAAAAUUUAUCUACUGAAUCAUCAAAGCUAGGAGUUGAGUCCUGCAGAAAACCAUGUGGGGAAAAGGAAAGGGGAGAAGUCACUGUUGAAGUGUCAUUCUGUGCUAAUGUCUCUCAGCUGUAUUCAAGCUCAAUGAUGAUUCCUUUAUAUAAAUGGAUCCCUAUAUGUGGUUCUCCAAUGAUAGUUGCAGGUUUCCUUGAUAGUCUCAGCUUGCUAACAACUGUGCUGGGUUUUUUUGAGGAUUGGUAUUGUCUGUCCGCUUGUACUGGUAUCUGAAACAUUGUUCAUAGAAGAGUAUCACUGGCUUGAGCCGCAGCAAUUGUUUUGGGCUGUUUCUGCUGCAGCAAAGGGCAUGGAUCACUGUACUCCAUGUUGACUCAACUUGACUUCUGUGUGCCAGCAAUCACUUGGUCCUGCGGCUCUCUCGUCCUGGUCUCUCCUGUGUUGCUUUUGAGCAGCUGGUGCUUUCUUUUGAAGUCACUCUGCUGUCCUUGCAACUUAGCAGAGAAUUGAAAAGUCAGCGCAUGCCUGUUUAAACUACUGUCAGGAAUGUGUUGAGUGAGCAGCUCUCAUAAUAUACUUGUGCUGUAGGAAAAUAUACACUACAAUUUUGUUCUGCCUGAAA